rnacentral:rRNA from 1 species
UACGAGGGGGGCAAGUGUUGUUCGGAAUCACUGGGCGUAAAGGGAGCGUAGGCGGGCUCUUUAGUUGGAUGUUUAAAACCGGGGCCCAACCCCGGCGUGGCAUCCAAAACUGGGAGUCUUGAAUGGGACAGAGGCUAGUGGAAUUGGAGGUGUAGCGGUGGAAUGCGUAGAGAUCUCCAAGAACACCCGUUGCGAAGGCGGCUAGCUGGGUCCACAUUGACGCUGAGGCUCGAAAGCAUGGGGAGCAAACAGG